CUCGAUUUCCAUAAUUUCAUAUUUUAUAACACAACACCACACCACCAUCAAAAAUGUCGCCACCGCCGAUUUCCACCCUUAUCCCCUCCCCAAAUCCAAUCAUUCUCACCGCCCUAUUCCCGCCAAAGGCUCCGAAACCGUCACCACCUUCAGACUCCAAUCAUUAUCAACCACCUCCUCAAUCCUCCUCUCUUCUCAACCUCAUUCCGACCACCCGCAGAGAGGCUGCCACCGGCGUCAUUCUAACAUCCAUAGCCUCACUCAUCCCUUCCUUCUCUCAACCUCCACUCGCUACAGCAUUCUCGUUCGGCAUUUCAGGACCAAAGGAUUGGCUGAGAGAACAAAAGAAGAAGGCGUCCAAGUAUUUGUUGGCUCCGAUUGAUGCCUCUCGCAAUAGCCUCCAAGCUGCAUAUCUCUUAAUCACAGGUAGUGGAACUUCACCCGAAAAAGACUUGGAAGAGGUUCAAAGACUGCUUGCAUCGGCUGCUAGGGAUUGUAUUCCUCAGGAGAGGAAUUCUAUUGUUACUUUUCAGUCUAAAACUGGCGUUGAGGUUUGCACAUUCAGGUUGGUCUUAAAAAAUGCAGCUUCAUUGCUUGAUGAUAAGGAUCCAACUUUGUUGGAGGCUGAGGCUAAACUGAGUGAUCUAGAAAGGUCUUUUAGUUCUCUUAAUAGCGUGGCAAAUGGAACUGCCCCUCAGAUUUUAUCUAACAGACAGAAGCAGGAAUCGUUCUUCCACAAGAUCCACAUGUCUAGUCUUGCAGCAUUUUUCUGCCUAUCAGGGAACAUUCUCCCAGUCCUCUAAGAGGUCUGGAUAUUUUUAUUAGGUAAUAUAGUCAGCAAAUUAGUUAGACAGGUAGUACUUGAGUUAGUUAGGAGACGAGUUAGUCAUUAUUAUUUUGUUAUAAUUACUGUUGUGUUGUACUCACUAGAUGCAUGUAAUAGUGGAAGAGUAAAGGGAGUAGAGAACACACAAUUGCUUUUCAUUAAGUCUUCUUCAUCCACAGCUCUUCGUCCCUGUUUAGGAUCUCAGGAUCUAAGAUGGUGUCAUAGCAGGAUUGAUUCUGUGAUACCUUCUUCAAUUCAUUUACUUUUUCCUCAUCCCGAUUGCUCGUGCAAUGGACAAUACAUCGUCAUCAACGGGGAGCGAUUCAGAUCAUGCAGAUCCUUCCAACCCAUAUUACCUGUAAAGACCAAAGUUGGAUUUGUUGAUGGUUCUUUGACAGAACCUCAAGGUGAUGUGAAUAUAUUAAUUUCUUGGACUCAAAACAAUAAUAUCGUAAUUUCAUGGAUAUUAGUUUUUGUUUUGAAAGAAAUCUCUGCUAGCUUCGUCUACAGUACUACAACGUAUCUGCUAGAGAGAUUUGGUUGGAUUUAUAGGACCGAUUUCAACAAAGGAACGAUCUUGCGAUUUUUCAAUUGAGAUUUAAACUAAUGAACCUUCGACAAGAGCAGAGUUCAGGGCUAAAAAUCUUAAUGACCACCAUCAAAUGAAAUACACCAUGCCAUUUCUUUUGGGACUUGAAGAUUCCUUCUCACAGAUCAGAGGACGAUUCUUGUUGAUGGAUCCGAUGUCUCCUACCAAUCAAAUGAAUGCAGGAAAGCCAUAUGGAGUUGCUACUUCUCAAGGAACAAGGUAUCAUAAUGAACAACAAUUUCCAGAGUCAAAGAACCGAGAAGCCUUAUUGCACUGAUUGCAAUAUGACUGGUCAUACUAUGGAUCGUUGUUAUAAACGGUAUGGGUAUCCUCCUGGAUGCAAAUCAAGAUUUUAACAGUCAAAUUAGUGCUGCUGUUCUUGAAGUUACAUCUGAGGACUUUGUUAAAAACCUUCAUUAACCCAAACCAAUACCAAUGGUUUAUGAAGAUGGUCUCCUCCCAGAUAAGCAACUCAGACAAGGAUGCAAAUUCUUCUCAACCAAAUGAGGUUUUGGGUAUUUGUCUCUCUAUGCACUUACAUUCCAUAUUCUCUUCGAAACUACAUUGGAUUAUUGACUCAGGAGCAACUCAACAUGUGUGUUCACAAGCAAGUUUAUUUGAUUCUAUGCACUCAAUUUGACAUACGGCCAUCAUAUUACCAAAUCAUUCUCAUAUCUUGGUAAAAUAUGCUGGUGAUGUUAAAUAAGCAAUGAUCUUACGCUUAAGGAUGCCUUGUUCAUUCCAGAUUUCAUGUUUAACUUGAUUUCUGACCAUUCUCUGACUAUUGGGUCAAAUCUUACAACCAUGUUUCUUCUUGAUUAUGUUGUU